rnacentral:misc_RNA from 1 species
UUUCCGUAGGUGAACCUGCGGAAGGAUCAUUACUGAGUGAGGGCCCUCUGGGUCCAACCUCCCACCCGUGUCUCUUGUACCAUGUUGCUUCGGCGAGCCCGCCUCACGGCCGCCGGGGGGCAUCUGCCCCCGGGCCCGCGCCCGCCGAAGCCCCCUCUGAACGCUGUCUGAAGAUUGCAGUCUGAGCGAUAAGCAAAAAUUAUUUAAAACUUUCAACAACGGAUCUCUUGGUUCCG